rnacentral:rRNA from 1 species
CGGAGGGUGCAAGCGUUAUCCGGAUUCACUGGGUUUAAAGGGUGUGUAGGCGGGCUAUUAAGUCAGUGGUGAAAUCUCCGGGCUCAACCCGGAAACUGCCAUUGAUACUAUUAGUCUUGAAUAUUGUUGAGGUAGGCGGAAUAUAUCAUGUAGCGGUGAAAUGCAUAGAUAUGAUAUAGAACACCGAUUGCGAAGGCAGCUUACUAAACAAUUAUUGACGCUGAGGUACGAAAGCGUGGGGAUCAAACAGGAUUAGAUACCCUGGUAGUCCACGCCCUAAACGAUGAUUACUCGACAUACGCGAUACACAGUGUGUGUCUGAGCGAAAGCAUUAAGUAAUCCACCUGGGAAGUACGUCCGCAAGGAUG